AGGACGAACGCUGGCGGCGCGCUUAACACAUGCAAGUCGAGCGAGAACCAGGGCUUCGGCCCUGGGGAAAGCGGCGAACGGGUGAGUAACACGUGAGUAACCUGUCCUCGGCACCGGGAUAGCCCGGGGAAACCCGGAUUAAUACCGGAUGGCCUUUCGAGCUCUCGGGCUCGUUAGAAAAGGUAGCUUCGGCCUCCGACCGAGGAGGGACUCGCGGCGGAUUAGCUUGUUGGUGAGGUAACGGCUCACCAAGGCGACGAUCCGUAGCUGGUCUGAGAGGACGAUCAGCCACACUGGGACUGAGACACGGCCCAGACUCCUACGGGAGGCAGCAGUGGGGAAUCUUGCGCAAUGGGCGAAAGCCUGACGCAGCGACGCCGCGUGCGGGAAGAAGGCCUUCGGGUUGUAAACCGCUUUCAGGAGGGACGAAGCCACUCGGGUUAAUAGCCCAGAGGGUGACGGUACCUCCAGAAGAAGCCCCGGCUAACUACGUGCCAGCAGCCGC
rnacentral:rRNA from 1 species